AGCGAUUGGAGAGAGACAGGAGAGACAUACGUUUUCAUCUAUCCUUUGUGGACUUCUGUUGUUUUUACUGCUGUGAAAUUUGACUUGGGAUAUCUGCUUAAAGCAAUGAAGAGAAAAGCUGAAGUCAUAGUGAUUAGGAGUGUCUGUGUAAGUAAAAGCAACAGGCAAUCACUGAGUGUGGUGUGAGAGGCACGGAAAGAUUGGGAAUUCAGCAGGAAAAGGAAUUGAAGUCAAACCUCACCUACUUCUCAGAGUCUUCCGGAUUUUCUGAAUCGUCAGAAGCUUCAGUAUCUGAGAUAUUCCUAUGCAUUCUACUGCUUUAAUCGUACCUAAGUAGAGAUGUCCACAACAGAGAGAAUGGAGCUGUCACAUCGUUUCAACUGCCCAGGUAGUUCCUACUGGCUGAGUGGGAUUGUCACCUUCACACCUGCCAGAGGCUUGGAGCAUGCAACAGUUUUAUUAAAUGGCUUCACGUUUCUUAUGAAAAUGCAACCACUAGUACUCUUCCAAUAAAAGCUUUUCUCAAGUGAAAGGACUCAGGCAACAAAUAAACAGCUAAGAUUUUACUAGAGUAUGAAAGGGAGAGCACUGGAGUGCAGUGUG
rnacentral:lncRNA from 1 species